CCUACGGGUGGCAGCAGUGGGGAAUAUUGGACAAUGGGCGAAAGCCUGAUCCAGCCAUGCCGCGUGUGUGAAGAAGGCCUUCGGGUUGUAAAGCACUUUCAGUGGGGAAGAAAGCCUUGGGGCUAAUACCCUCGAGGAAGGACAUCACCCACAGAAGAAGCACCGGCUAACUCCGUGCCAGCAGCCGCGGUAAUACGGAGGGUGCGAGCGUUAAUCGGAAUUACUGGGCGUAAAGCGCGCGUAGGCGGUCUGAUAAGCCGGUUGUGAAAGCCCCGGGCUCAACCUGGGAACGGCAUCCGGAACUGUCAGGCUAGAGUGCAGGAGAGGAAGGUGGAAUUCCCGGUGUAGCGGUGAAAUGCGUAGAGAUCGGGAGGAAUACCAGUGGCGAAGGCGGCCUUCUGGACUGACACUGACGCUGAGGUGCGAAAGCGUGGGUAGCAAACAGGAUUAGAUACCCGUGUAGUC
rnacentral:rRNA from 1 species